AUGCUCACCUGGCAGGGGAGAUCCCAUAAUCAAGAGGGUGGGUUUCCCAAGGUGAGGCCCAUCCAUUGCACUCUGGAUUUGCUGACUCCUGCGAUUUUCCCCAAUGUGGGAAACUUGAUUGUAGUAUAAUUUGUGAUAGUGGUAGACUGUAAUUGUGUUUUCCCCUG
ensembl:snRNA U1 U1 spliceosomal RNA